AAAGAAUUAGUUAAAUAAUAACAUUAAACUGUCAUUUUAAAAUUAUUAAUAAAUAAUACUCUUU
rnacentral:tRNA from 1 species